UUUUGCGCAAUGGGGGAAACCCUGACGCAGCAACGCCGCGUGCGGGAUGACGGCCCUCAGAUUGUAAACUGCUUUAGACAGGGAAGAAACAAGACAGUACCUGUAGAAUAAGCUCCGGCUAACUACGUGCCAGCAGCCGCGGUAAUACGUAGGGAGCAAGCGUUAUCCGGAUUUAUUGGGUGUAAAGGGUGCGUAGACGGGAAGGCAAGUUGGUUGUGAAAUCCCUCGGCUUAACUGAGGAACUGCAACCAAAACUAUCUUUCUUGAGUGCUGGAGAGGAAAGUGGAAUUCCUAGUGUAGCGGUGAAAUGCGUAGAUAUUAGGAGGAACACCAGUGGCGAAGGCGACUUUCUGGACAGUAACUGACGUUGAGGCACGAAAGUGUGGGGAGCAAA
rnacentral:rRNA from 1 species